rnacentral:rRNA from 1 species
UACAGAGGGGGCAAGCGUUGUUCGGAAUUACUGGGCGUAAAGGGCGCGUAGGCGGCCUUCUAAGUCGAACGUGAAAUCCCUCGGCUUAACCGGGGAACUGCAUCUGAUACUGGAUGGCUUGAGUUCGGGAGAGGGAUGCGGAAUUCCAGGUGUAGCGGUGAAAUGCGUAGAUAUCUGGAGGAACACCGGUGGCGAAGGCGGCAUCCUGGACCGACACUGACGCUGAGGCGCGAAAGCGAGGGGAGCAAACGGG